CGUGAGUAACCUGCCUUGGAGUGGGGAAUAACAGUUGGAAACAGCUGCUAAUACCGCAUAAUAUGUCUGUGUCGCAUGGCACUGGGCAUCAAAGAUUUAUCGCUUUGAGAUGGACUCGCGUCUGAUUAGCUAGUUGGCGGGGUAACGGCCCACCAAGGCGACGAUCAGUAGCCGGACUGAGAGGUUGGCCGGCCACAUUGGGACUGAGACACGGCCCAGACUCCUACGGAAGGCAGCAG
rnacentral:rRNA from 1 species